AUUGAACGCUGGCGGAAUGCUUUACACAUGCAAGUCGAACGGCAGCACGGGGGCAACCCUGGUGGCGAGUGGCGAACGGGUGAGUAAUAUAUCGGAACGUGCCCAGUCGUGGGGGAUAACGCAGCGAAAGCUGUGCUAAUACCGCAUACGAUCUACGGAUGAAAGCGGGGGGACCGCAAGGCCUCGCGCGAUUGGAUGAGCCGACGUCGGAUUAGCUAGUUGGUGGGGUAAAGGCCUACCAAGGCGACGAUCCGUAGCUGGUCUGAGAGGAUGAUCAGCCACACUGGAACUGAGACACGGUCCAGACUCCUACGGGAGGCAGCAGUGGGGAAUAUUGGACAAUGGGCGCAAGCCUGAUCCAGCAAUGCCGCGUGUGUGAAGAAGGCCUCGG
rnacentral:rRNA from 1 species